GUAGUUUGAUCAUGGCUCAGGACGAACGCUGGCGGCGUGCUUAACACAUGCAAGUCGGACGGGGUUGAGUGGAGGAUGCUUUAGGGUUGAAUCUGCUUGACCUAGUGGCGGACGGGUGAGUAACGCGUGAAUUACUACCCUAGGGAGGGGAUAACGCCUGGAAACGGGUGCUAAUACCCAUAAGCUGGAAGGUGAAGGGAGAGAUCUGCCCUAGGAUGGGUUUGCGUCCUAUCAGCUAGUUGGU
rnacentral:rRNA from 1 species